GGAGAGGUGGCUGAGCGGUUGAAAGCGCACGACUCGAAAUCGUGUUUGGGUUAAUCACCCAACGAGGGUUCGAAUCCCUCCCUCUCCGCCA
rnacentral:tRNA from 1 species